rnacentral:rRNA from 1 species
CCUACGGGUGGCUGCAGUAGGGAAUAUUGCUCAAUGGGGGAAACCCUGAAGCAGCAACGCCGCGUGGAGGAUGAAGGUUUUCUGAUUGUAAACUCCUUUUGUUAGAGAAGAUUAUGACGGUAUCUAACGAAUCAGCACCGGCUAACUCCGUGCCAGCAGCCGCGGUAAUACGGAGGGUGCAAGCGUUACUCGGAAUCACUGGGCGUAAAGAGUGCGUAGGCGGGAUAGUAAGUCAGAUGUGAAAUCCUGUGGCUUAACUAUAGAACUGCAUUUGAAACUUUUACUCUAGAGUAUGGGAGAGGUAGGUGGAAUUCUUGGUGUAGGGGUAAAAUCCGUAGAGAUCAAGAGGAAUACUCAUUGAGAAGGCGACCUGCUGGAACAUAACUGACGCUGAUGCGCGAAAGCGUGGGGAGCAAACAGGAUUAGAUACCCGAGUAGUC